rnacentral:rRNA from 2 species
AAAUUGAAGAGUUUGAUCAUGGCUCAGAUUGAACGCUGGCGGCAGGCCUAACACAUGCAAGUCGAACGGUAACAGGAAGCAGCUUGCUGCUUCGCUGACAAGUGGCGGACGGGUGAGUAAUGUCUGGGAAACUGCCUGAUGGAGGGGGAUAACUACUGGAAACGGUGGCUAAUACCGCAUGACGUCGCAAGACCAAAGAGGGGGACCUUCGGGCCUCUUGCCAUCAGAUGUGCCCAGAUGGGAUUAGCUUGUUGGUGAGGUAACGGCUCACCAAGGCGACGAUCCCUAGCUGGUCUGAGAGGAUGACCAGCCACACUGGAACUGAGACACGGUCCAGACUCCUACGGGAGGCAGCAGUGGGGAAUAUUGCACAAUGGGCGCAAGCCUGAUGCAGCCAUGCCGCGUGUAUGAAGAAGGCCUUCGGGUUGUAAAGUACUUUCAGCGGGGAGGAAGGUGUUGUGGUUAAUAACCACAGCAAUUGACGUUACCC